UCCAGCUGUGGUUCCUUCCUCUUAUUUCCUUCUGCCUGUCCUCUCUGGAUGAAGUCACGUGUUCAACUAUACAGACUGUGAUUGGGCUCACAUCUCCAGCUGCCACACGCCCACUGGGAUUCCCUUUGAACAUCACAAAGAUUUUAAGAUCCCAGAGGACAGGAACCAUCCGCAGUACCAUCAUCAUCCUGUAAGCUCCAUGAGGACCAGAUUUUUGUUUCCUGAUGAGCUCCAAACCAUUCAAAAAAGACUCCUGGCGUGGACAAAUAAUAAUGUUUGUCGAAAGAAUGAGAGGACAAGAUUCCAAACCAAAUUAAGAGCUCUGGACUGUUGACUGUACCUGAGAGUUCUGAUCUUCAAGGAGCCAGCAUUUUAACAACACCAAACCAGGGUUAAUAAGGGAAUAGAAACAGGAUUGACCAAAUGAGUAUGCCAAUGUUAAGCCCUGCCCAGCCAGGUAGCUAACAAUGUUUUUAUUGACAGGGAAAUAAAGACUUCAGAGAGAAAUAUGAUUCGCUCUGCCUUGUCUCAAAGAGAAAAAUGAGUUAGGCCAGAGAAAUAAC